AGCAGUAUGGCUCAGUGGAAAGAACACGGGCUUGGGAGUCAGAGGUCAUGGGUUCGAAUCCCGUCUCUGCCA
rfam:Ornithorhynchus anatinus chromosome X2, whole genome shotgun sequence.